rnacentral:rRNA from 1 species
UACGUAGGGGGCAAGCGUUGUCCGGAAUUACUGGGCGUAAAGCGUGCGUAGGCGGUUCGUUAAGUCUGCUGUGAAAGCCCCGGGCUCAACCUGGGAAUGGCAGUGGAUACUGGCGAGCUAGAGUGUGAUAGAGGAUGGUGGAAUUCCCGGUGUAGCGGUGAAAUGCGUAGAGAUCGGGAGGAACAUCAGUGGCGAAGGCGGCCAUCUGGAUCAACACUGACGCUGAGGCACGAAAGCGUGGGGAGCAAACAGG